GACGAACGCUGGCGGCGCGCUUAACACAUGCAAGUCGAACGAUGAAGCCGGAGCUUGCUCUGGUGAAUUAGUGGCGAACGGGUGAGUAACACGUGAGUAACCUGCCCUUGACUCUGGGAUAACUUCUAGAAAUGGUAGCUAAUACCGGAUACGACCCUCGGAGGCAUCUCCAGGGGGUGGAAAGAAUUUCGGUCAAGGAUGGACUCGCGGCCUAUCAGCUAGUUGGUGAGGUAACGGCUCACCAAGGCGACGACGGGUAGCCGGCCUGAGAGGGUGACCGGCCACACUGGGACUGAGACACGGCCCAGACUCCUACGGGAGGCAGCAGUGGGGAAUAUUGCACAAUGGGCGCAAGCCUGAUGCAGCAACGCCGCGUGAGGGAUGACGGCCUUCGGGUUGUAAACCUCUUUUAGUAGGGAAGAAGCGAAAGUGACGGUACCUGCAGAAAAAGCACCGGCUAACUACGUGCCAGCAGCCGCAGUAA
rnacentral:rRNA from 1 species